UACGUAGGGUGCGAGCGUUAAUCGGAAUUACUGGGCGUAAAGCGUGUGCAGGCGGUUUGCUAAGUACGUUGUGAAAUCCCCGGGCUUAACCUGGGAACUGCAUUGGUGACUGGCAGGCUAGAGUAUGGCAGAGGGGGGUAGAAUUCCACGUGUAGCAGUGAAAUGCGUAGAGAUGUGGAGGAAUACCGAUGGCGAAGGCAGCCCCCUGGGCCAAUACUGACGCUCAUGCACGAAAGCGUGGGGAGCAAACAGG
rnacentral:rRNA from 1 species